UUUAAACGAGUUCAUUAUGAACCACACGCGAAGAAAACGCGAGCACAGCGCUUCCAGACCACCUUGAGUUAUGCCGGGUCUAAUGUGACUACAUCAUGAUUGUCUGGUGGCUGUUUUACUGUGAUUAUGGCACGGGGUUCCCUGAAUUGGCGAGCGUCUGGAUCUGACUCAGUGCUGAGCAGGUAAACACCUCUUCUCAAUCCUCACUCUGUUCACACACACAUGUUCGGCUGGAUCUUCCCGAGAUGAAACUCUGCAUUGAAAGCAGGGUCGUGGCUUGUGGUAUUUUGGGGCCCACCCACCCUCUGUCCCCCCAUGUGCCCGAGUCCCGGCCCGGCUGGAGAUGCCCUCUGAACUCCCCUAAACUGAUGGCCAAAUAUUCUGAGGAAACCAGAGCCAGUGUGAAUCUGCAGCGGUGAUCCCGUGUGAAACUCGUCUCACUCCUGUUUCUCUU